rnacentral:rRNA from 1 species
GACGAACGCUGGCGGCAGGCCUAACACAUGCAAGUCGAACGGAUCCUUCGGGAUUAGUGGCGGACGGGUGAGUAACACGUGGGAACGUGCCCUUUGGUUCGGAACAACUCAGGGAAACUUGAGCUAAUACCGGAUGUGCCCUUCGGGGGAAAGAUUUAUCGCCAUUGGAGCGGCCCGCGUCUGAUUAGCUAGUUGGUGAGGUAAAGGCUCACCAAGGCGACGAUCAGUAGCUGGUCUGAGAGGAUGAUCAGCCACAUUGGGACUGAGACACGGCCCAAACUCCUACGGGAGGCAGCAGUGGGGAAUCUUGCGCAAUGGGCGAAAGCCUGACGCAGCCAUGCCGCGUGAAUGAUGAAGGUCUUAGGAUUGUAAAAUUCUUUCACCGGGGACGAUAAUGACGGUACCCGGAGAAGAAGCCCCGGCUAACUUCGUGCCAGCCGCCGCGGUAA